GAGCGUAGACGGAUGGGCAAGUCUGAUGUGAAAACCCAGGGCUUAACCCUGGGACUGCAUUGGAAACUGUCUGGCUCGAGUGCCGGAGAGGUAAGCGGAAUUCCUAGUGUAGCGGUGAAAUGCGUAGAUAUUAGGAGGAACACCAGUGGCGAAGGCGGCUUACUGGACGGCAACUGACGUUGAGGCUCGAAAGCGUGGGUAGCAAACA
rnacentral:rRNA from 1 species